rnacentral:rRNA from 1 species
AGUGAACGCUGGCGGUAGGCCUAACACAUGCAAGUCGAACGGCAGCACAGUAAGAGCUUGCUCUUACGGGUGGCGAGUGGCGGACGGGUGAGGAAUACAUCGGAAUCUACUUUUUCGUGGGGGAUAACGUAGGGAAACUUACGCUAAUACCGCAUACGACCUACGGGUGAAAGCAGGGGAUCUUCGGACCUUGCGCGAUUGAAUGAGCCGAUGUCGGAUUAGCUAGUUGGCGGGGUAAAGGCCCAACAAGGCGACGAUCCGUAGCUGGUCGGAGAGGAUGAUCAGCCACACUGGAACUGAGACACGGUCCAGACUCCUACGGGAGGCAGCAGUGGGGAAUAUUGGACAAUGGGCGCAAGCCUGAUCCAGCCAUACCGCGUGGGUGAAGAAGGCCUUCGGGUUGUAAAGCCCUUUUGUUGGGAAAGAAAAGCAGCAGGUUAAUACCCCGCUGUUCUGACGGUACCCAAAGAAUAAGCACCGGCUAACUUCGUG